GUUCUUCUGGGCCGCCAUCGCCUCGACGGUGGCGCCGCUCGAGUCGGUGUAGCUGAUCGGUUCGACGCCGAGGAAGAACG
rnacentral:tRNA from 1 species